GGGGAAUAUUGCGCAAUGGGGGGAACCCUGACGCAGCCAUGCCGCGUGAAUGAAGAAGGCCUUCGGGUUGUAAAGUUCUUUCGGUAUUGAGGAAGGUUGAUGUGUUAAUAGUACAUCAAAUUGACGUUAAAUACAGAAGAAGCACCGGCUAAUUCCGUGCCAGCAGCCGCGGUAAUACGGAGGGUGCGAGCGUUAAUCGGAAUAACUGGGCGUAAAGGGCACGCAGGCGGUUAUUUAAGUGAGGUGUGAAAGCCCCGGGCUUAACCUGGGAAUUGCAUUUCAGACUGGGUAACUAGAGUACUUUAGGGAGGGGUAGAAUUCCACGUGUAGCGGUGAAAUGCGUAGAGAUGUGGAGGAAUACCGAAGGCGAAGGCAGCCCCUUGGGAAUGUACUGACGCUCAUGUGCGAAAGCGUGGGGAGCAAACAGGAUUAGAUACCCUGGUAGUCCACGCUGUAAACGCUGUCGAUUUGGGGGUUGGGGUUUAACUCUGGCGCCCGUAGCUAACGUGAUAAAUCGACCGCCUGGGGAGUACGGCCGCAAGGUUA
rnacentral:rRNA from 1 species